GGGAUUGCCUCAGUAGCGGCGAGUGAAGCGGCAAGAGCUCAGAUUUGAAAUCUCACCUAGUGUGCGAGUUGUAAAUUGCAGGUUGGAGUCUCGGUUUAGACGUGUGUGCAAGUCCCUUGGAACAGGGCGCCACUGAGGGUGAGAGCCCCGUAGUGUGCACGUCGAUAGCUGUGAGGCCCUUCUGACGAGUCGAGUUGUUUGGGAAUGCAGCUCUAAGUGGGUGGUAAAUUCCAUCUAAGGCUAAAUAUUGGCGAGAGACCGAUAGCGAACAAGUACUGUGAAGGAAAGAUGAAAAGCACUUUGAAAAGAGAGUGAAACAGCACGUGAAAUUGUUGAAAGGGAAGGGUAUUGGGCUCGACAUGGGAUUUACGCAUCGUUGCCUCUCGUGGGCGGCGCUCUGGGUUUUUCCUGGGCCAGCAUCGGUUUUCGUUGCAGGAUAAGGACCUUUGGAAUGUGGCUCCUCGGAGUGUUAUAGCCAUUGGUAGAUGCUGCAUAUGGGGACCGAGGGCUGCGGCGGACUUGUUUCGUCUCGGAUGCUGGCACAACGGCGCAAUACCGCCCGUCUUGAAACAUGGACCAAGGAGUCUAACGUCUAUGCGAGUGUUUGGGUGUAAAACCCGUACGCGUAAUGAAAGUGAACGUAGGUCGGACCGCUCUCUCGGGGGGGGG
rnacentral:rRNA from 1 species